rnacentral:snRNA from 1 species
AUACUUACCUGACAGGGGUGAUUCCAUGAUCACUCAGGUGGGGUGAUCCCUGCAAUUUUCCCAAAUGAGGGAAACUUGACUGCAUAAUUUGUGGUAGUGGGGGACUGCAUUCAUAUUCUCCCAUG